AACGAACGCUGGCGGCAUGCCUAACACAUGCAAGUCGAACGAGACCUUCGGGUCUAGUGGCGCACGGGUGCGUAACGCGUGGGAACCUGCCCUUAGGUUCGGAAUAACUCCCCGAAAGGGGUGCUAAUACCGGAUAAUGUCCUCGGACCAAAGAUUUAUCGCCUUUGGAUGGGCCCGAGUUGGAUUAGCUAGUUGGUAGGGUAAAAGCCUACCAAGGCGACGAUCCAUAGCUGGUCUGAGAGGAUGAUCAGCCACACUGGGACUGAGACACGGCCCAGACUCCUACGGGAGGCAGCAGUGGGGAAUAUUGGACAAUGGGCGAAAGCCUGAUCCAGCAAUGCCGCGUGAGUGAUGAAGGCCUUAGGGUUGUAAAGCGCUUUUACCCGGGAUGAUAAUGACAGUACCGGGAGAAUAAGCCCCGGCAAACUCCGU
rnacentral:rRNA from 1 species